AGGACGAACGCUGGCGGCGUGCCUAACACAUGCAAGUCGAACGGAGCCCGCAAGGGUUCAGUGGCGAACGGGUGCGUAACACGUGAGGAACUUGUCCAUCGGCGGGGGAUAGCCGGCCCAACGGCCGGGUAAUACCGCGUACGCCGUCCGGAGCGCAUGCUCUGGCCGGGAAAGCAGCAAUGCACCGAUGGAGAGCCUCGCGGCCUAUCAGCUAGUUGGUGGGGUAAUGGCCUACCAAGGCGACGACGGGUAGCUGGUCUGAGAGGAUGACCAGCCACAUUGGGACUGAGACACGGCCCAGACUCCUACGGAGGCAGCAGUGGGGAAUAUUGCGCAAUGGGCGAAAGCCUGACGCAGCGACGCCGCGUGUGGGAUGACGGCCUUCGGGUUGUAACCACUGUCGAAGGGACGAUAUUGACGGUACCCUUGGAGGAAGCCCGGCUAACUACGUGCCAGCAGCCGC
rnacentral:rRNA from 1 species